rnacentral:rRNA from 1 species
GUGAGGAAUCUUAGACAAUGGGCGCAAGCCUGAUCUAGCCAUGCCGCGUGAGUGAUGAAGGCCCUAGGGUUGUAAAGCUCUUUCAGCUGGGAAGAUAAUGACGGUACCAGCAGAAGAAGCCCCGGCUAACUCCGUGCCAGCAGCCGCGGUAAUACGGAGGGGGCUAGCGUUGUUCGGAAUUACUGGGCGUAAAGCGCGCGGAGGCGGACCAGAAAGUUGGAGGUGAAAUCCCAGGGCGAAACCUUGGAACUGCCUUCAAAACUCCUGGUCUGGAGUUCGAGAGAGGUGAGUGGAAUUCCGAGUGUAGAGGUGAAAUUCGUAGAUAUUCGGAGGAACACCAGUGGCGAAGGCGGCUCACUGGCUCGAUACUGACGCUGAGGUGCGAAAGCGUGGGGAGCAAACAGGAUUAGAAACCCUUGUAGUCC